GACGAACGCCGGCGGCGUGCUUAACACAUGCAAGUCGAACGGAAAGGCCCUGCUUUUGUGGGGUGCUCGAGUGGCGAACGGGUGAGUAACACGUGAGUAACCUGCCCUUGACUUUGGGAUAACUUCAGGAAACUGGGGCUAAUACCGGAUAGGAGCUCCUGCUGCAUGGUGGGGGUUGGAAAGUUUCGGCGGUUGGGGAUGGACUCGCGGCUUAUCAGCUUGUUGGUGGGGUAGUGGCUUACCAAGGCUUUGACGGGUAGCCGGCCUGGGAGGGUGACCGGCCCCAUUGGGACUGAGAUACGCCCCAGACUCCUACGGGAGGCAGCAGUGGGGAAUAUUGCACAAUGGGCGGAAGCCUGAUGCAGCAACGCCGCGUGCGGGAUGACGGCCUUCGGGUUGUAAACCGCUUUCGCCUGUGACGAAGCGUGAGUGACGGUAAUGGGUAAAGAAGCACCGGCUAACUACGUG
rnacentral:rRNA from 1 species